rnacentral:rRNA from 1 species
UAACCCUACGGGGCGCAGCAGUGAGGAAUAUUGGUCAAUGGUCGGGAGACUGAACCAGCCAAGCCGCGUGAGGGAUGAAGGUACAGAGUAUCGUAAACCUCUUUUGUCAGGGAACAAAGGCGGGGACGCGUCCCCGGAUGAGUGUACCUGAAGAAAAAGCAUCGGCUAACUCCGUGCCAGCAGCCGCGGUAAUACGGAGGAUGCGAGCGUUAUCCGGAUUUAUUGGGUUUAAAGGGUGCGCAGGCGGUCUGUUAAGUCAGCGGUCAAAGCCCGGGGCUCAAACCCGGCCCGCCGGUGGAACUGGG